rnacentral:rRNA from 1 species
AGCGAACGUUUGCGGCGGGCCUAACACAUGCAAGUCGAACGAGAUCUCGGGCUUCGGUCCGGGUGAAAGUGGCGCACGGGUGCGUAACACGUGGGUAAUCAACCCUUUGGAUCGGGACAACCCGGGGAAACUCGGGCUAAUACCGGAUACGUCGUCGGAGCUCUAGGGCUCUGACGGGAAAGGCCUGCAAGGGCUACCAGAGGACGAGCUCGCGGCCCAUCAGCUAGUUGGUGAGGUAAUGGCUCACCAAGGCGAAGACGGGUAGCUGGUCCGAGAGGAUGAUCAGCCACACUGGAACUGAGACACGGUCCAGACUCCUACGGGAGGCAGCAGUGGGGAAUAUUGCGCAAUGGGCGAAAGCCUGACGCAGCCACGCCGCGUGUGCGAUGAAGGUCUUCGGAUCGUAAAGCACUGUGGGGGGAGAAGAACAAAGCUGGUGAAGAGCCAGCCCUGGCGGUAUCCCCUUAGCAAGCACCGGCUAACUCCGUGCCAGCAGCCG